rnacentral:rRNA from 1 species
UACAGAGGGCGCGAGCGUUGUCCGGAAUCACUGGGCGUAAAGGGCGCGUAGGUGGCCACCAUAAGGCCGCGGUGAAAGUUCGGGGCUCAACCCUGAAUCGGCCGCGGCGACUGUGGGGCUCGGGUACUGUAGAGGCAGGUGGAAUUCCGGGUGUAGCGGUGGAAUGCGUAGAUAUCGGGAGGAACACCUGUGGCGAAAGCGGCGCACUGGACCAUAACUGACGCUGAGGCGCGAAAGCUAGGGGAGCAAACAGG